rnacentral:tRNA from 1 species
AACUUUAUAGUCAUUAAUGAUAUUAGACUGCAAUUCUAAAGGAGUAGUUAGACUACUAAAGUAU